UAUUUUUACAAAUUGAAGAUUUGUGGCGACCUUGCACAAAAGGCGAAUGCGUUUAUCAGCACAUUUUCCAACAGCAUGUGCUCACUUCAUAUCUGUCAUAUUGAAUAAAGAGAGUCUGGUGGAGGACCUGGGAGUUGAAUUUCAACAAGUGCUUUGGUGAUUCUGAGCAGGUGGCCCCACCUACACGUGAAGAAAGCAGCGUGCACUGUGGACUUUGUGACACUGCAGCAUCUGCUACUGUAUUUACAUGGGCCUUUACUUCUCUGACUGCCCCAUGGACUACCAGAGUUGAGGGUGGGGCCAUUGUUGUAUCUCUGGCACAGCACUUGCCAUAAAAUCAUCUUCCUUCCAUGACUUCAGGAGAACCACAAGCUGCAGCCCCUCUGCAGUCACUUCCAUAGAAGCAUCACACGUCU